rnacentral:rRNA from 1 species
GACGAACGCUGGCGGCGUGCUUAACACAUGCAAGUCGAACGAUGAAGCGGAGCUUGCUCCGUGGAUUAGUGGCGAACGGGUGAGUAACACGUGAGCAACCUGCCCCUAACUCUGGGAUAACGCUUCGAAAGGAGUGCUAAUACCGGAUAUGAGCCUGGAAGACAUCUUCUGGGUUGGAAAGUUUUUCGGUUAGGGAUGGGCUCGCGGCCUAUCAGCUUGUUGGUGAGGUAAAGGCUCACCAAGGCGACGACGGGUAUCCGGCCUGAGAGGGCGACCGGACACACUGGGACUGAGACACGGCCCAG